AUGAGAUAGGAACAUUUAUUGUUAUAGUGAUAUAAGAAUUUAUUUUACUAAUUGUGUUUUAUUUAUUAACGUUUUUUUAAUGUUUUUUUUGGGCUUUUUUAUAAAAUAAUUUAUUUAAUAAAUUAUUAAACAUUGAUGAGUUUGAUCCUGGCUCAGAGUGAAUGCUUGAGUAGGCUUUACACAUGCAAGUCUAAAAAUUUGUUUUUUAUAAAUAAAUUUUGGCGAAUAGGUGCGUAUUAAUAUGAGAAAUUAACCCGCAAAAACGUAAUAAUUUAUAAUUUCGUAUAAUAAUAGUUUUUAGUUUUGUUUCUUUUUAGAAAUAAAAUUAUUCUAGAUUUAAAAAGAUUUUUAAUCGAUUGCGGACAAGCUCGUAUAGGAUUCAGAUUGUUGGUAGGGUAAAGGCCUACCAAGUCGAUUAUCUUUAGCUGGUCUGGGAGGAUGGUCAGCCACAUUAGAUCUGGAACACGUCUAACUAUCGAAGUGGUAGCAGCAGUGGGGAAUCUUGGACAAUGUGUUAACACACGAUCCAGCAAUAUCUUAGAGACUAUGAAGGCUUGAAAGAGCUGAAAGGUUUAGAAUAAUAAAAGAACAAGGUAUUUUCUUGACUUACUUUUAUUAUGUAAGCUCCGACUAAUUUCGUGCCAGCAGUCGCGGUAAGACGAGAGGAGCAAGUGUUAUUCGUGCUGAUUGGGCGUAAAGGGUAUGUAGACGGUUAAAUAAGUUUAAAGUUAAAAACAAUGAGCUUAACUCUUGAGAAGCUUUUUAAUACUAUUUAACUUUGAGUAUAUUAGAAAAUAGUGGGAUUUUUAGAGGAAAGGUAAAAUUUAAUGAUUUUAAGGAGACGAAGCUUGCGAAGGCGACUUUUUAUAAUAUACUGACGUUGAGAUACAAAAGUAUAGGGAGCAAAGAGGAUUAGAGACCCUCGUAGUCUAUACUGUGACCGAUGAAUAUUGGAAAAAUAAAAAUGACUUUUAUUUUAUUUUAUCUAAGCUAACGCGUAAAUAUUCCGCCUGGGAACUAUGGCCGCAAGGUUAAAACUCAAAGGAAUUGACGGAGAACAGACCAAGUAGUGGAGUAUGUGAUUUAAUCCGAUAGUCCGCGCAAAACCUUACCAAUUCUAGUUUAUAUAUAUAAAUGUUUAACAUGAUGUUUAUUAUCUUAAUGAUUUGAAUAAUUAUUUUCAGAUAUAAGUAUAAUCAGGUGUUGCAUGGCUGAUGUAAGUUCGUGUUGUCAAAUUUCCUGUUAAUUCCGGAAACGAACGCGACCCUAGAAUUGUUUACUUUAUAGAGGAUUAAAAUGAUUUUUUAUCUUUAAAAUUAAUUUUUUUUCUGAAAUUUUUGGUUUAUAAUUUUUGACAUAAAUUUGCAAGAGUUAUAAACUAAAGAUUUAAUAAGGUUCAAUUGAUUAUUAGUGUAAUACUAAUGGAAGAUAGGAUGACAUCAAGUCGUCAUGCCUUGAUGAAUUGGGCUAUACACGUACUACAAUGAUUGUUACAAUGAGAUGCAAAAAUGUAAGUUUAAGCUAUUCUUUAAAAACAAAUCUUAGUUCGAAUUGUUCUUUGAAACUUAAGAACAUGAAGUUGGAAUUACUAGUAAUCGUAUAUCAUAAUGAUACGGUGAAUUUGGGACCUGUUCUUGCACACACCGCCCGUCACGCCACGGAAGCUCACUCUAUAUUACAUAUCAAAAAUUAGUUUUUAGAUGUUUAAUUUAAAAUAAAAUUUAUUAUAUGGUUUAUAAUAAAUAUUUUUAUUAAAACUAAAAAAAUAUGAUGGACGAAUAUCGAUAUAGAAUUAGUGACUGGGGCGAAGUCGUAACACGGUAGCUGUAGGGGAACCUGUGGCUGGAUUAA
rnacentral:rRNA from 1 species